rnacentral:rRNA from 1 species
UAGAGUUUGAUCCUGGCUCAGAUUGAACGCUGGCGGCAGGCCUAACACAUGCAAGUCGAGCGGUAGCGGGAAGAGCUUGCUCUUUGCCGACGAGCGGCGGACGGGUGCGUAACACGUAGGAAUCUGCCCGGUAGUGGGGGAUAGCCCGGAGAAAUCCGGAUUAAUACCGCAUACGCACCAGCUCUUUAUGAGCGGUGGAAAGCAGGGGAUCUUCGGACCUUGCGCUAUCGGAUGAGCCUGCGUCGGAUUAGCUGGUUGGUGGGGUAAAGGCCCACCAAGGCGACGAUCCGUAGCUGGUCUGAGAGGAUGAUCAGCCACACUGGGACUGAGACACGGCCCAGACUCCUACGGGAGGCAGCAGUGGGGAAUAUUGCACAAUGGGCGCAAGCCUGAUGCAGCCAUGCCGCGUGUGUGAAGAAGGCCCUAGGGUUGUAAAGCACUUUCAGUGGGGAGGAAAGGUUGCUGGUUAAUACCCGGCAGCUAUGACGUUACCCACAGAAGAAGCACCGGCUAACUCCGUGCCAGCAGCCGCGGUAAUACGGAGGGUGCGAGCGUUAAUCGGAAUUACUGGGCGUAAAGCGUGCGUAGGCGGCCACCUAAGUUGGAUGUGAAAGCCCCGGGCUCAACCCGGGAACUGCAUCCAAAACUGGGUGGCUGGAGUACGGGAGAGGAGUGUGGAAUUUCCUGUGUAGCGGUGAAAUGCGUAGAUAUAGGAAGGAACACCCAGUGGCGAAGGCGACACUCUGGCCUGAUACUGACGCUGAGGUACGAAAGCGUGGGGAGCAAACAGGAUUAGAUACCCUGGUAGUCCACGCCCGUAAACGAUGUCUACUAG